AAGUCGUAACAAGGUUACCGUAGGUGAACCUGCGGUUGGAUCAUUAUAAAAUGAAAUUUUUGUAUAAUAAAUUUAUUAUGGGUUGAGUUUAGCUCCUAUUUAUAUGGUGAGCUUUAUUUUUCUCAUAUUAAAUUUAUUAUAUGAUUAUAACACUUUGUGCACUAUAAAUGUUUUUUGGGAUAUUAUACUUUAUUGUAUAUAUCCCAGCAUUCUUAAACCAAAAUUUUUAACAUUUGACUAAGUUUUCUAUUAUGAAAUAUAUAAAACAACUUUUGACAACGGAUCUCUUGGCUCUC
rnacentral:misc_RNA from 1 species